GAUGAACGCUGGCGGCGUGCCUAAUACAUACAAGUCGAGCGAACGGACGAGAAGCUUGCUUCUCUGAUGUUAGCGGCGGACGGGUGAGUAACACGUGGAUAACCUACCUAUAAGACUGGGAUAACUUCGGGAAACCGGAGCUAAUACCGGAUGAUAUUUUGAACCGCAUGGUUCAAAAGUGAAAGACGGUCUUGCUGUCACGUAUAGAUGGAUCCGCGCUGCAUUAGCUAGUUGGUAAGGUAACGGCUUACCAAGGCAACGAUGCAUAGCCGACCUGAGAGGGUGAUCGGCCACACUGGAACUGAGACACGGUCCAGACUCCUACGGGAGGCAGCAGUAGGGAAUCUUCCGCAAAGGGCGAAAGCCUGACGGAGCAACGCCGCGUGAGUGAUGAAGGUCUUCGGAUCGUAAAACUCUGUUAUUAGGGAAGAACAUAUGUGUAAGUAACUGUGCACAUCUUGACGGUACCUAAUCAGAAAGCCACGGCUAACUACGUG
rnacentral:rRNA from 1 species